AAAUUGAAGAGUUUGAUCAUGGCUCAGAUUGAACGCUGGCGGCAGGCCUAACACAUGCAAGUCGAACGGUAACAGGAAGCAGCUUGCUGCUUCGCUGACGAGUGGCGGACGGGUGAGUAAUGUCUGGGAAACUGCCUGAUGGAGGGGGAUAACUACUGGAAACGGUGGCUAAUACCGCAUAACGUCGCAAGACCAAAGAGGGGGACCUUCGGGCCUCUUGCCAUCAGAUGUGCCCAGAUGGGAUUAGCUUGUUGGUGAGGUAACGGCUCACCAAGGCGACGAUCCCUAGCUGGUCUGAGAGGAUGACCAGCCACACUGGAACUGAGACACGGUCCAGACUCCUACGGGAGGCAGCAGUGGGGAAUAUUGCACAAUGGGCGCAAGCCUGAUGCAGCCAUGCCGCGUGUAUGAAGAAGGCCUUCGGGUUGUAAAGUACUUUCAGCGGGGAGGAAGGUGUUGUGGUUAAUAACCGCAGCAAUUGACGUUACCCGCAGAAGAAGCACCGGCUAACUCCGUGCCAGCAGCCGCGGUAAUACGGAGGGUGCAAGCGUUAAUCGGAAUUACUGGGCGUAAAGCGCACGCAGGCGGUCUGUCAAGUCGGAUGUGAAAUCCCCGGGCUCAACCUGGGAACUGCAUUCGAAACUGGCAGGCUUGAGUCUUGUAGAGGGGGGUAGAAUUCCAGGUGUAGCGGUGAAAUGCGUAGAGAUCUGGAGGAAUACCGGUGGCGAAGGCGGCCCCCUGGACAAAGACUGACGCUCAGGUGCGAAAGCGUGGGGAGCAAACAGGAUUAGAUACCCUGGUAGUCCACGCCGUAAACGAUGUCUACUUGGAGGUUGUGCCCUUGAGGCGUGGCUUCCGGAGCUAACGCGUUAAGUAGACCGCCUGGGGAGUACGGCCGCAAGGUUAAAACUCAAAUGAAUUGACGGGGGCCCGCACAAGCGGUGGAGCAUGUGGUUUUAAUUCGAUGCAACGCGAAGAACCUUACCUGGUCUUGACAUCCACAGAAGAAUCCAGAGAUGGAUUUGUGCCUUCGGGAACUGUGAGACAGGUGCUGCAUGGCUGUCGUCAGCUCGUGUUGUGAAAUGUUGGGUUAAGUCCCGCAACGAGCGCAACCCUUAUCCUUUGUUGCCAGCGGUUAGGCCGGGAACUCAAAGGAGACUGCCAGUGAUAAACUGGAGGAAGGUGGGGAUGACGUCAAGUCAUCAUGGCCCUUACGACCAGGGCUACACACGUGCUACAAUGGCGCAUACAAAGAGAAGCGACCUCGCGAGAGCAAGCGGACCUCAUAAAGUGCGUCGUAGUCCGGAUUGGAGUCUGCAACUCGACUCCAUGAAGUCGGAAUCGCUAGUAAUCGUGGAUCAGAAUGCCACGGUGAAUACGUUCCCGGGCCUUGUACACACCGCCCGUCACACCAUGGGAGUGGGUUGCAAAAGAAGUAGGUAGCUUAACCUUCGGGAGGGCGCUUACCACUUUGUGAUUCAUGACUGGGGUGAAGUCGUAACAAGGUAACCGUAGGGGAACCUGCGGUUGGAUCACCUCCUUA
rnacentral:rRNA from 1 species